AUGGCGUACAAUUCAGUGAGAUGUAGUAUAAAUGGAGUACAGUCUAAAGGGGCCCGCGUGCCGCCACCCUCUUGGCCCGCCAUACUGCUACCGGUGCCGCUACUGCUCAGCCUUCCCAGCCUGGCCGUCACUGAGUCCCCUGUGUACUUCAAGGAGCAGUUUCUGGACGGAGAUGAUUGGACCUCUCGCUGGAUCGAAUCCAAACACAAGUCAGAUCUUGGCAAAUUCAUCCUCAGUUCCGGCAAGUUCUAUGGUGACCAGAAGAAGGAUAAAGGACUGCAAACUAGCCAGGAUGUCGGCUUUUAUGCCCUGUUGCCAAGAUCUGAGCCUUUCAGCAACAAGAGCCAGAUGCUGGUGGUGCAAUUCACCAUGAAGCAUGAGCAGAACACUGACUGUGGGGGCGGCUACGUGAAGCUGUUUCCGAGUUUGGACCAGAAAGACAUGCACGGAGACUCAGAAUUUAACAUCAUGUUCAGACCAGACAUCUGUGGCCCUGGCACCAAGAAGGUUCAUGUCAUUUUCAACUAUAAGAAAAUGGCAAGAACGUGCUAAUCAACAAGGACAUCCGGUGCAAGGAUGAUGAAUUCACACACCUGUACACACUCAUUGUCCAGAAUGACAACACCUAUGAGGUGAAAAUUGACAACAGCCAAGUGGGGUCUGGUUCCUUGAGGAAGAUUGGGACUUCCUGCCCCUCAAAAAGAUAAAGGAUCCUGAUGCUGUCAAGCCAGAAGACUGGGAUGAGCGCGCCAAGAUUGAUGACCCCACAGAUUCCAAACCUGAGGAAUGGGACAAGCCAGAACACAUCCCUGAUCCUGAUGCUAAGAAGCCAGAAGACUGGGAUGAAGAGAUGGAUGGAGAGUGGAAACCACCAGUGAUUCAGAACCCUGAGUACAAGGGCGAGUGGAAGCCACAGCAAAUUGACAACCCCGAUUACAAGGGCACCUGGAUCCACCCUGAAAUUGACAACACUGACUACUCCCCAGAAGCCAGUAUCUAUGCUUAUGACAACUUUGCUGUGCUGGGCCUAGAUCUCUGGCAGGUCAAGUCUGGCACCAUCUUUGACAACUUCCUCAUCACCAAGGAUGAGGCAUAUGCAGAGGAGUUUGUCAAUGAGACUGGGGUGUCACAAAGGCAGCAGAAAAGCAGAUGAAGGAUAAACAGGACGAGGAGCAGAGGCUUAAAGAAGAGGAGGCGGAGGAGGCAGAGGACAAGGAGGAUGAGGAAGACAAAGAUGAGGAUGAGGAUGACGAAGAGAACAAGGAGGAAGACGAGGAGGAAGCUACUGCUGGCCAGGCAAAGGAAGAGCUGUAG